GAUGAACGCUAGCGGCAGGCUUAAUACAUGCAAGUCGUGGGGCAGCAGGUCUGUAGCAAUACAGAUGCUGGCGACCGGCAAACGGGUGCGUAACACGUACGCAACCUUCCCGUUACUGGGGAAUAGCCCAGGGAAACUCGGAUUAAUACCCCAUAUUAUAUUGGUUAGGCAUCUGACUGAUAUCAAAGCUUCGGCGGUAACGGAUGGGCGUGCGGUUGAUUAGGUAGUUGGCGGGGUAACGGCCCACCAAGCCUACGAUCAAUAGCUGAUGUGAGAGCAUGAUCAGCCACACGGGCACUGAGACACGGGCCCGACUCCUACGGGAGGCAGCAGUAAGGAAUAUUGGGCAAUGGACGAAAGUCUGACCCAGCCAUGCCGCGUGAAGGAUGAAGGUCCUCUGGAUUGUAAACUUCUUUUAUCUGGGGCGAAAAUCGGUUAUUCUUAGCCGCUUGACAGUACCAGAUGAAUAAGCACCGGCUAACUCCGUGCCAGCCGCCGCUGUAAAAC
rnacentral:rRNA from 1 species